UGAUCACAGCCGAGCAAAGCUGGUGUAUUGCGCGUGGGGAGCUCGCUCACCAAAGCGCGAUACACCAACUUUGAGAGGCGCCCCUGCAUGAGCAUGAAGCGAUGCGAAGCAGAGCGGGAAUGCGAAUGCAGGGAGGAUUGCGGGAGCGCGAAGCGCGGAGCAAUCCGGUGAUCA
rnacentral:sRNA from 1 species